AAGAAAACCAACUGAGCACAUGUGCAGAGUUCAGGGCAUCCACUCCCCUCACACUCAUGGCUGGGACCUCUGAUCAAGGCAUCAGGUCCUCUGGGCAUUCCCAAGGGAACUGGCAUCACGUGAACACACACACAGCAAUGGCUCCAUGACCUUCUCUCUCAACACAGAAGCACACAGGCUACAAAGGGUGGCUGCCCUUAUACGAACCAUCACUGCCACACAGGGCAUCCCUGGGUAUCUGGAAGGAUAAAAGGGAGACUGUGCUAAAGACAAACUGUGGAGACUCUCCGGUUGGAGCCCAGAGGGGAAAAUGAUGACCUGAAGAAGAGAAAGGGAGCUGGCACAGACAGACAGGUGGACCUGAAGGGGUUGAAAGGUGAUGCAGAUGAGCUGAGAGCAAAGCUGGUGUUGGAUGAGAAGCGCAUUCCAGGUAUAUGCUAGGAAUUCUUUCCUGCAAGAUGACAGAGCAGCAGGAGAGACUGGUUGACCGGAUUUUUUCAAGAACCUUCCAUUUCAUGAGGUAUUCUGAACCAACUCUGAAGACUUCUAAGCACUUAAUACCUCAGAGACAGAGCUAGAAACAUCUGCAGCUACUGUCCUGGACCAUGGUGCUGUUAUUCUCUUGAAUCAAUAAAAGGCCUGCCUUGAACUCA
rnacentral:lncRNA from 1 species